GAUGAACGCUAGCUACAGGCUUAACACAUGCAAGUCGAGGGGCAGCAUGGUCUUAGCUUGCUAAGGCCGAUGGCGACCGGCGCACGGGUGAGUAACACGUAUCCAACCUGCCGUCUACUCUUGGACAGCCUUCUGAAAGGAAGAUUAAUACAAGAUGGCAUCAUGAGUCCGCAUGUUCACAUGAUUAAAGGUAUUCCGGUAGACGAUGGGGAUGCGUUCCAUUAGAUAGUAGGCGGGGUAACGGCCCACCUAGUCUUCGAUGGAUAGGGGUUCUGAGAGGAAGGUCCCCCACAUUGGAACUGAGACACGGUCCAAACUCCUACGGGAGGCAGCAGUGAGGAAUAUUGGGUCAAAUGGACGAGAGUCUGAACCAGCCAAGUAGCGUGAAGGAUGACUGCCCUAUGGGUUGUAAACUGCUUUUAAAAGGUAUAAAGUCGGGUAUGUAUACCCGUUUGCAUGUACUUUAUGAAUAAGGAU
rnacentral:rRNA from 1 species